rnacentral:rRNA from 1 species
AUUGAACGCUGGCGGCAGGCCCAACACAUGCAAGUCGAGCGAGCGGCGGACGGGUGAGUAAUGUCUGGGAAACUGCCUGAUGGAGGGGGAUAACUACUGGAAACGGUAGCUAAUACCGCAUACCAUCAGAUGUGCCCAGAUGGGCUUAGCUAGUAGGAGGGGUAACGGCUCAACUAGGCGACGAUCCCUAGCUGGUCUGAGAGGAUGACCAGCCACACUGGAACUGAGACACGGUCCAGACUCCUUCGUGAGGCAGCAGUGAGGAAUAUUGCACAAUGGGCGCAAGCCUGAUGCAGCCAGGCCGCGUGUGGGAAGAAGGCCUUCGGGUUGUAAAGCACUUUCAGCGGGGAGGCGUUACCCGCAGAAGAGGCACCGGCUAACUCCGUGCCAGCAGCCGCGGUAAUAC